GGAUGUGAGGGCGACAUCUGUCACCCCAUUGAUCUCCAGGGUUGAUUCAGCUCAUCUGGCUGGCUAAGCGGCUGUCCCCUUCCUCCCUCACUGCUCCGUGUGUGUCCCUCCCGCAGCCAUGUGCUCAGUUGGAGAGGACGGCCUUCCCCGAAUAGACGAACGGGUCUUCAAGUAGCUGCGCUCCCCUGCUGGAACCUCCAAACCAGCUCUCAAGAAAUUAAGGGGUCUUGGGGCUGGAGUGAUAGCACAGCGGGUA
rnacentral:snRNA from 1 species